rnacentral:lncRNA from 1 species
CUAAAGGAACGCCCAUUGAGAACCUGCAACACAUGUGGCCCAUACAUAUACAGCCACCAAACUAGAUCCAGAAGAAUAUCUAAGAUACAUGAAUGCAGCUGAUCCAAAGAAAAGAGAAAUAGCCAUGAUGUGAGAGCUACAGGUGCUGAAGGCUUUUGACCUUCCUUGUGUGGAUUUGAUGUUUAGAAUGUUGGCGAGGAUGAAAACAUAGGAAAUGAGGAUCGUACAGCUGGGGACUGUGAUGUUAAUACCCACAACUACAAGAACAACCACCUCAUUGACAUAAGUGCUGGUACAAGAAAGUUGGAGGAGAGGGAGAAUGUCACACAAGUAAUGGUUGAUGAGAUUGGCAUUACAGAAAGUCAGUCUGAGCAUGCAGCCUGUGUGGACAGAGGCUCCAGCAAACCCCAUCCCAUAAGCAGCAAAAGAUAGAAUAGAACAGACCUGAGGGGACAUGGUGACCUUAUAUAGCAAUGGAUUACAAAUGGCCACAUAGCGAUCAUAGGCCAUUGAGGUCAACAUGUAGCAUUCAGAGAUGACAAAAAAGAGAAAGAGAAACAGCUGAGUCAUGCACCCCUCAAAGGAGAUGGAGUUCUUCUCAGAGACAAAGUUCAUCAGCAUUUUGGGACUGAAGACAGAAGAGUAGCUGAGAUCAAUGAAGGAGAGGUUGAAAAGGAAAUAGUACAUCGGGGUGUGCAGAUGAGGAUUGAGGCCAAUCAGGAUAAUCAAACCAAUGUUUCCGGCCACUGUGAUAAUGUAGAUUAUUAGAAACAGGAAAAAGAGAGGCAGCUGGAGCUCUGGACAAUCUGUUAAGCCAGCAAGGACAAA